rnacentral:rRNA from 1 species
CGAUGGAUAGGGGUUCUGAGAGGAAGGUCCCCCACAUUGGAACUGAGACACGGUCCAAACUCCUACGGGAGGCAGCAGUGAGGAAUAUUGGUCAAUGGACGAGAGUCUGAACCAGCCAAGUAGCGUGAAGGAUGACUGCCCUAUGGGUUGUAAACUUCUUUUAUAAAGGAAUAAAGUCGGGUAUGCAUACCCGUUUGCAUGUACUUUAUGAAUAAGGAUCGGCUAACUCCGUGCCAGCAGCCGCGGUAAUACGGAGGAUCCGAGCGUUAUCCGGAUUUAUUGGGUUUAAAGGGAGCGUAGGCGGAUGCUUAAGUCAGUUGUGAAAGUUUGCGGCUCAACCGUAAAAUUGCAGUUGAUACUGGGCGUCUUGAGUACAGUAGAGGCAGGCGGAAUUCGUGGUGUAGCGGUGAAAUGCUUAGAUAUCACGAAGAACUCCGAUUGCGAAGGCAGCCUGCUGGACUGUAACUGACGCUGAUGCUCGAAAGUGUGGGUAUCAAACAGGAUUAGAUACCCUGGUAGUCCACACAGUAAACGAUGAAUACUCGCUGUUUGCGAUAUACGGCAAGCGGCCAAGCGAAAGCGUUAAGUAUUCCACCUGGGGAGUACGCCGGCAACGGUGAAACUCAAAGGAAUUGACGGGGGCCCGCACAAGCGGAGGAACAUGUGGUUUAAUUCGAUGAUACGCGAGGAACCUUACCCGGGCUUAAAUUGCACUCGAAUGAUCCGGAAACGGUUCAGCUAGCAAUAGCGAGUGUGAAGGUGCUGCAUGGUUGUCGUCAGCUCGUGCCGUGAGGUGUCGGCUUAAGUGCCAUAACGAGCGCAACCCUUAUCUUUAGUUACUAACAGGUCAUGCUGAGGACUCUAGAGAGACUGCCGUCGUAAGAUGUGAGGAAGGUGGGGAUGACGUCAAAUCAGCACGGCCCUUACGUCCGGGGCUACACACGUGUUACAAUGGGGGGUACAGAGGGCCGCUACCACGCGAGUGGAUGCCAAUCCCUAAAACCCCUCUCAGUUCGGACUGGAGUCUGCAACCCGACUCCACGAAGCUGGAUUCGCUAGUAAUCGCGCAUCAGCCACGGCGCGGUGAAUACGUUCCCGGGCCUUGUACACACCGCCCGUCAAGCCAUGGGAGCCGGGGGUACCUGAAGUGCGUAACCGCGAGGAUCGCCCUAGGGUAAAACUGGUGACUGGGGCUAAGUCGUAACAAGGUAGCCGUACCGGAAGGUGCGGCUG